rnacentral:rRNA from 2 species
GGUUAAGCGACUAAGCGUACACGGUGGAUGCCCUGGCAGUCAGAGGCGAUGAAGGGCGUGCUAAUCUGCGAUAAGCGCCGGUAAGGUGAUAUGAACCGUUAUAACCGGCGAUACCCGAAUGGGGAAACCCAGUGUGACUCGUCACACUAUCAUUAACUGAAUCCAUAGGUUAAUGAGGCGAACCGGGGGAACUGAAACAUCUAAGUACCCCGAGGAAAAGAAAUCAACCGAGAUUCCCCCAGUAGCGGCGAGCGAACGGGGAGGAGCCCAGAGCCUGAAUCAGCAUGUGUGUUAGUGGAAGCGUCUGGAAAGACGCGCGAUACAGGGUGACAGCCCCGUACACAAAAGCGUAUGUGCUGUGAGCUCGAUGAGUAGGGCGGGACACGUGGUAUCCUGUCUGAAUAUGGGGGGACCAUCCUCCAAGGCUAAAUACUCCUGACUGACCGAUAGUGAACCAGUACCGUGAGGGAAAGGCGAAAAGAACCCCGGCGAGGGGAGUGAAAAAGAACCUGAAACCGUGUACGUACAAGCAGUGGGAGCACAGGUUUACCUGUGUGACUGCGUACCUUUUGUAUAAUGGGUCAGCGACUUAUAUUCUGUAGCAAGGUUAACCGAAUAGGGGAGCCGGAGGGAAACCGAGUCUUAAUUGGGCGUUAAGUUGCAGGGUAUAGACCCGAAACCCGGUGAUCUAGCCAUGGGCAGGUUGAAGGUUGGGUAACACUAACUGGAGGACCGAACCGACUAAUGUUGAAAAAUUAGCGGAUGACCUGUGGCUGGGGGUGAAAGGCCAAUCAAACCGGGAGAUAGCUGGUUCUCCCCGAAAGCUAUUUAGGUAGCGCCUCGUGAAUUCAUCUCCGGGGGUAGAGCACUGUUUCGGCUAGGGGGUCAUCCCGACUUACCAACCCGAUGCAAACUGCGAAUACCGGAGAAUGUUAUCACGGGAGACACACGGCGGGUGCUAACGUCCGUCGUGAAGAGGGAAACAACCCAGACCGCCAGCUAAGGUCCCAAAGUCAUGGUUAAGUGGGAAACGAUGUGGGAAGGCCCAGACAGCCAGGAUGUUGGCUUAGAAGCAGCCAUCAUUUAAAGAAAGCGUAAUAGCUCACUGGUCGAGUCGGCCUGCGCGGAAGAUGUAACGGGGCUAAACCAUGCACCGAAGCUGCGGCAGCGACACUCAGGUGUUGUUGGGUAGGGGAGCGUUCUGUAAGCCUGCGAAGGUGGCCUGUGAGGGUUGCUGGAGGUAUCAGAAGUGCGAAUGCUGACAUAAGUAACGAUAAAGCGGGUGAAAAGCCCGCUCGCCGGAAGACCAAGGGUUCCUGUCCAACGUUAAUCGGGGCAGGGUGAGUCGACCCCUAAGGCGAGGCCGAAAGGCGUAGUCGAUGGGAAACGGGUUAAUA